GAAAGACACAUAUCCAAACGCCCUGACGGCGCGUGCCCUUCUACGACGGUGGGUUGACAGCGGCGGAGGAACGAGCCGAAGAACGGUAGGAGUACAAUGACGACAAUUAGCAGCCACCGGUACGUCCAGCACCACCUUCCAAACCAGGUGGACGUGUGACGCUAUGAGCAGUCUUGGGUCCGCCGACGGGAGCAAACGGCGGAGGCUUGACACGUCCGACACCUAUCGUCGCCCAGAGUAAGGGCUUCGUAUACAGGAGCUGCUGCCAGAAAAUCGUACAGAACAUGAGGGAGUGAACGGUUUAUAAACAGAAAGAUGUGUAAAAUUUACCUGAUGUUGUAUGUCUACAAACAUCAGUAUAAAAUUUCAUAUCUAAGUAAGUAAAACGAAGCAUACAUUAGUAAACAACUUUAGAAAUUUUACUGUUUAUAAAUCUUUGCCCACUCAUAAUAUAAAGAGCACAAUAUUCUCUAUAAAUAGUUCCGGUGUUAGUAAAUGAAUGUUGUACAAUUCCUUUCGUUCGUAUCGACUUAUAUAUUCUGACCACUGCCCGAAGGCCGAAGG
rnacentral:rRNA from 1 species